rnacentral:piRNA from 1 species
UCCAAAAGGGACCUGGCUCACGC